GCCCAACAAAUAUCAUCCCUUCUUGACUUUAAUAUUUCUAGAUUCUAAUGCAGCAUGCUUGCUCAGUACACUCUAUUAGUCUGGACUAAUCGUCGUAGAAUAUUUUAUAGAUAUUUUACUACCAUGAUGACAAAGCCUCCUGAUUGGCUUUGUCCUUUUAAAAUCUUGAGGGACAUACCCAAGUUAGUUCUAAGUAGGACUCUCUCAUAGCAUCUAGCUGAAGAUGUUAAACUUAAAGCUUGUUGAGAGG
rnacentral:lncRNA from 1 species